UACGGGGGGGGCAAGCGUUGUUCGGAAUUACUGGGCGUAAAGGGCUCGUAGGCGGCCAACGAAGUCGGAUGUGAAAUCCCCAGGCUUAACCUGGGAACUGCAUCCGAUACUGGAUGGCUUGAAUCCGGGAGAGGGAUGCAGAAUUCCAGGUGUAGCGGUGAAAUGCGUAGAUAUCGAGAGGAACACCUGCGGCGAAGGCGGGUUGCUGGGCUGACACUGACGCUGACAGCGCGAAAGCUAGGGGAGCGAACGGG
rnacentral:rRNA from 1 species